UUCGCACAAUUGGUCAUCGCGCU
rnacentral:snRNA from 1 species